GAUGAAGAACGUAGCGAAAUGCGAUAACUAAUGUGAAUUGCAGAAUUCAGUGAAUCAUCGAGUUUUUGAACGCACAUUGCGUCCCCUGGUAUUCCGGGGGGCAUGCCUGUCCGAGCGUCAUUGCUGCCCUCAAGCACGGCUUGUGUGUUGGGCCUCCGUCCUCCUCCCGGGGGACGGGCCCGAAAGGCAGCGGCGGCACCGCGUCCGGUCCUCGAGCGUAUGGGGCUUCGUCACCCACUAUUGUAGGCCCGGCCGGCGCUUGCCGACACAUCAAUCUUUUUUCCAGGUUGACCUCGGAUCAGGUAGGGAUACCCGCUGAACUUAAGCAUAUCAAUAAGCGGAGGA
rnacentral:misc_RNA from 1 species